GUGACAGAGUGAGGGAGGUGGUGACUGUUACUAGUGACAGAGUGAGGAAGGGGGUGACACAGUGAGAGAGUGAGGAAGGGGGUGACUAGUGACAGAGUGAAGGAGGUGGUGACUGUCACUAGUCACCCCCUCCCUCUCUCUCUCUGUCACUAGUGACACCCUCCCUCACUCUGUCACUAGUCACCCCCUCUCUCUGUCACUAUUCACACCCUCCCUCUCUCUGUCACUAGUCACCCCCUCCCUCUCUCUGUCAC